rnacentral:rRNA from 1 species
UACGUAGGGAGCAAGCGUUGUCCGGAAUCAUUGGGCGUAAAGCGCGCGUAGGUGGCUUCGUAAGUCCGUUGUGAAAGUCAAAGGCUCAACCUUUGAAAGCCGAUGGAUACUGCGGAGCUAGAGUACGGAAGAGGCGAGUGGAAUUCCUGGUGUAGCGGUGGAAUGCGCAGAUAUCAGGAGGAACACCACUAGCGAAGGCAGGUCUCUGGGCAUUAACUGACGCUGAGGAGCGAAAGCAUGGGGAGCGAACAGG